GAUGAAGAACGCAGCGAAAUGCGAUAAGUAGUGUGAAUUGCAGAAUUCAGUGAAUCAUCGAAUCUUUGAACGCACAUUGCGCCCCUUGGUAUUCCAUGGGGCAUGCCUGUUCGAGCGUCAUUUGUACCUGCAAGCUUUGCUUGGUGUUGGGUGUUUGUCUCGCCUUUGCGUGUAGACUCGCCUUAAAAUAAUUGGCAGCCGGCGUAUUGAUUUCGGAGCGCAGUACAUCUCGCGCUUUGCACUCAUAACGACAGCGUCCAAAAGUACAUUUUACACUCUUGACCUCGGAUCAGGUAGGGAUACCCGCUGAACUUAAGCAUAUCAAUAAGCGAGGA
rnacentral:misc_RNA from 1 species